rnacentral:rRNA from 1 species
GUGCAAUGGCAUAAGCCAGCUUGACUGCGAGCGUGACGGCGCGAGCAGGUGCGAAAGCAGGUCAUAGUGAUCCGGUGGUUCUGAAUGGAAGGGCCAUCGCUCAACGGAUAAAAGGUACUCCGGGGAUAACAGGCUGAUACCGCCCAAGAGUUCAUAUCGACGGCGGUGUUUGGCACCUCGAUGUCGGCUCAUCACAUCCUGGGGCUGAAGUAGGUCCCAAGGGUAUGGCUGUUCGCCAUUUAAAGUGGUACGCGAGCUGGGUUUAGAACGUCGUGAGACAGUUCGGUCCCUAUCUGCCGUGGGCGCUGGAGAACUGAGGGGGGCUGCUCCUAGUACGAGAGGACCGGAGUGGACGCAUCACUGGUGUUCGGGUUGUCAUGCCAAUGGCACUGCCCGGUAGCUAAAUGCGGAAGAGAUAAGUGCUGAAAGCAUCUAAGCACGAAACUUGCCCCGAGAUGAGUUCUCCCUGAGACUUUAAGUCUCCUGAAGGAACGUUGAAGACGACGACGUUGAUAGGCCGGGUGUGUAAGCGCAGCGAUGCGUUGAGCUAACCGGUACUAAUGAACCGUGAGGCUUAACCUUACAACGCCGAAG